rnacentral:rRNA from 1 species
AGAGUUUGAUCAUGGCUCAGGACGAACGCUGGCGGCGUGCUUAACACAUGCAAGUCACGGGGGCUGGGCAACCAGCAACCGGCGAACGGGUGCGUAACACGUGAGCGACCUGCCCGCCUGUGGGGGAUAGCCGGCCCAACGGCCGGGUAAUACCGCAUACGCUUCCGGGCCCGCAUGGGUCCUUAAGGAAAGCAGCGAUGCGCAGGCGGAGGGGCUCGCGGCCUAUCAGCUCGUUGGCGGUGUAAUAGACCACCAAGGCGACGACGGGUAGCUGGUCUGAGAGGAUGGCCAGCCACAUUGGGACUGAGACACGGCCCAGACUCCUACGGGAGGCAGCAGUGGGGAAUAUUGCACAAUGGGCGGAAGCCUGAUGCAGCGACGCCGCGUGAGGGAUGACGGCCUUCGGGUUGUAAACCUCUUUCGACCCUGACGAAGCGUGAGUGACGGUAGGGGGAGAAGAAGCACCGGCCAACUACGUGCCAGCAGCCGCGGUAAGACGUAGGGUGCGAGCGUUGUCCGGAUUUAUUGGGCGUAAAGAGCUCGUAGGCGGCUCGUCGCGUCGACCGUGAAAACUUGGGGCUUAACUCUAAGCUUGCGGUUGAUACGGGCGGGCUAGAGUUCGGUAGGGGAGACUGGAAUUCCUGGUGUAGCGGUGAAAUGCGCAGAUAUCAGGAGGAACACCGGUGGCGAAGGCGGGUCUCUGGGCCGAUACUGACGCUGAGGAGCGAAAGCGUGGGGAGCGAACAGGAUUAGAUACCCCCGUAGUCC